AUACGGAGGGUGCAAGCGUUACUCGGAAUUACUGGGCGUAAAGGGCGCGUAGGCGGUCUAUCAAGUCAGUUGUGAAAUCCCACGGCUCAACCGUGGAGGUGCACCUGAAACUGAUAGACUUGAGUAUGGGAGAGGAAAGUGGAAUUCCCGGUGUAGAGGUGAAAUUCGUAGAUAUCGGGAGGAACACCAGUGGCGAAGGCGACUGUCUGGACCAAUACUGACGCUGAGGCGCGAAAGCGUGGGGAGCAAACAGGAUUAGAAACCCUAGUAGUCC
rnacentral:rRNA from 1 species